GGAGCUGUGGCUCAGCAGGAAAGAACAUCUGCUUGGCUUGCAAUCCCAAAGGUUCCCUGGUUCAAUCCCCGGCAGCACCA
rnacentral:tRNA from 1 species